rnacentral:rRNA from 1 species
GACAGAGGUGCCAAGCGUUAGGCGGAAUCACUGGGCUUAAAGCGUGUGUAGGCGGACGCCUAAGUACCUUGUGAAAUCCCCCGGCUCAACCGGGGAACUGCUGGGUAUACUGGGCGUCUUGGGCCAACUAGGGGCUGCCGGAACAAAUGGUGGAGCGGUGAAAUGCGUAGAUAUCAGGAAGAACACCCGUGGCUAAGGCGGCUCUCUAGUACGGUACUGACGCUGAGACGCGAAAGCGUGGGGAGCGAACAGG